UAUCUUAAUGUGUCAUUAAUGAUCAUGCAGUUGAAAGAUAUUUCAGUGUCUAUUUGACCCAACAUUAAAAGGUCAUAUAAAUACUAUAACAACUUUCCAUGACAGUAAGAUCUGACUUUAUAAAACGCAAAGUUACAACAAUAAAUGCCCCAGGGUGAUUCAUCUUUGUGGCCCUGGUGACUAGGCUCCCGACACUUCACUGGUAUAUCACUGCACGGUCCUGCCAUGGAGGAAUGUGGGGCAGAAGGAUAUAGCAAGGAAGUUGGUAAGACCUGUCUCAGCAGGUGAAAGGCUUUUCUUUGUGGUUUUUGUUUUUAAUCCCAGGCCCCUCUCCAGGGCAAUGCCUAGAAACCCUUAAUUAAUUAAAAUAAUUGGUGAUGGAAGAUUGCCUUCCCAUUAACUAGUAUAUAUAGAGGCAGAAAAGAGUAUAUUCAGCACAAAAUCAUUUUGAUUCUUUCUACGUGCCCUAUUAGAUGCAUAGUUCCUCGCCAUCCCAGAGGAUAUAUGGAAACUGCUAAACGGAAGUCUGCUCUGUUUCCUAUAAGCAACACUUGGAGGCAUUUGUAUCAUGACCAAUAAGAGAAUAAAAUUAGUAGGCAUUGUGUGGCUGGUGUUAUAGUUGUAAAACUUGGUUAAGGGGUGGUUUGGGUGUUGGGGAGAACGCUCUGGGGUCUGCCUUUGUUUCUCUCUAUUAAAAAAUAAUUCUAGUUUGCUGAAAGUGAUACAAUUUGUUUUGUCUGGUUCCACACUGGUUAUGUGGUUAUUUUAAAAAAAAUUCUGCAUUACCUGAUUUAACUUUUUUUUUCUAAAUGAAAAUUUUGAAAAUUAUUUUGAAAAUUUCUAUAAAUUGCCAGUAAAAUAGUUGCUUGGCAUUUCCGUACAGAGACAUGGUCAACCAUAUUCUAGAAUUCAUAAUUUAGAAAUAGCUGUAACCUAGAGCAUUUCUUCCUAAUAUACGGUCUUCAGUUUAAAACUUUGCUGCUCUUCAGUGCCAUAUGUGCCUUUCAAUACUUUUCAUUUCUGUGUCCAAGCAUUCAUUUUACUUGUCAUUUAUGAUUUUAAUGUAUUACGUCAUUAUGCAAGCAUUUCAGAGGUUGAUGUAAGCAACGGUUCUCUUUUAUCAAGAUUGCACUAAACCAAAACAUUUGGUUUCCUUGGUGUUAAGAUAGUUACAUUUUAUAUCUUUGACAGAAAAUAGAAGAUAUGUGAUCUUGCAGAUAACUGACAUUAACAUAUGGCUUUAGCUUCAUUUUGUAGAUUCUGUGUCUGACAAGAAUCUAAACCUUUAUCAUACUUUUCUAGUAAACCAUUUAAAAUUUCAAAAAGUCUUUAUUUGUGUUAAAUUUUGAAGUGAGAUGGACAGCUGGGAAUCCAAAGACUGACUGGACAGUCUGGGAGUGAAUGGCAG